GCACUACUGCUUAACUUCUCCUAAAAGCGAGAUACCUGUUGGAGUUUAUGGAACAAUGAAUUAUGUUGGUUCUCAGUUUGUUCAGUUUCCUUCGAGCCAACACCAGUAUGCAACGUUGCUAGGAGACAAAUAAGAUGGUAUUUUCUUGCCAAAGUGCUGGUACUCUUGGUUCACUUUUUGUUUACUUUUAAAAUUGUUUUUAUUAUCAUUAUUGUUCCUAAUUUAUUCACAUACAAUAUUACCCGAAUUCAUCAUAAGUUUCAAGAUGCUAAUGGGAAUGAAAAGUCAACCAUUUCAAGAAUGUUGUUUAGGGUUCAAACAAGAUGGAGUUCAUGUUCGUGUCAAGAAACGGACCUCUGGGUGCUAUAAAGUUUAUCUACAGUAGAAGUUUAGUGUAAAAACCAGCCCAAGUUUUUCCAAUGGUACAUGCAAGCAUGUAGGAAGAAGAUGGACAAUGGAGAUGGGUUCGGCUUGCUUAUUUCAUUUCAAAUGAAAGUCGGCAGUUGGGGAAUAACCAUUUAAUAAGAGAAAACUCUUUCAACUCUCAAUUUUUGAUCUGGGAUACACAAUAAAUAGUCUCGCUUGGUUGGAAAUUGUUUGGGUCCGCAAAAGUAAGUGUACUUAAAAGAAGAUUGUUACCAACAGGGUAUUGUGUAACGAUGAGUGAUAUCUUUGAUAUAUGGAACAAGUGUUAGCCUUCGUCACA